UAAAUAUGAGGUCGAUAUACAGUAACAGUAGAUCAAGUCGAAUUAUUUUGACUUGGCAUAUGAGCCGCUGUGUCUACACGACUGCCUGUGGUGCAUACCUGUAUCGCUUAUCUUGAACACAAAUAAACAUAUAGGGUGUUUUCAGUUUCGAAAUACUGGAAAAUCAGAAUCAUUUUCUAAUUUUCGACGAUCUCAUAAACGCUUUCGAGUUAAUGUUUGACUUCUAAACGAAGAAAGAUAACAGACUGUCCGGUCUUGGGAUAAGUGUUAUCGAUCAACGGAAUAUCUUAUUUACGCGAGAAUGGGUAACGGUGAAACCGGUGGAACCGAAGGAUCCACGGGCGGUGGAUUCGGCGGCAUUGGCGGCGGUGGGUCGGAAGGCGAUGGUAAAAAAAUAUUCUCCGCACAAAGAUAUGACGCUGUUUGCCAGAUAACAGAAUCAGCUUCAUGGCUCAGGACCGACGUGAUUCCUAUAGGAAUGGAUGAGUAGCUGUUUGAUUUUGUAUAAAGUGGAUCAUGCGCAUGGAAAUGAAGAAAGGCCACCAGAACGCUAGUUAGACAUCGGAUUAUUCAGAUUCAGAUUUAGUUAGCAAGUGACCGAGUUUUAUCGUUGGAAUAAAAUAUCAAUCAAUA